rnacentral:rRNA from 1 species
ACACGACUACAUUAGAUACCCGUGUAGUCCCAGCCCUAAACGAUGCGCGUUAGGUGUAUCGGUGACCACGAGUCACCGAGGUGCCGAAGGGAAACCGUGAAACGUGCCGCCUGGGAAGUACGGUCGCAAGGCUGAAACUUAAAGGAAUUGGCGGGGGAGCACAACAACGGGUGGAGCUUGCGGUUUAAUUGGAUUCAACGCCGGAAAUCUUACCGGGACCGACAGCAACAUGAAGGCCAAGCUGAAGACUUUGCCGGAUUAGCUG